AAAAAAGAUACGUAUGUUUGUACGGGUGCUAUGGGAGCCAUGGUUCAAGAAGAAAAUCGAUGGGAAGCUUCAAUACAUCGAUUUUAGGUGAUUGAUUAAAGAAAUUGAAGAACUUAUGAACAUCCUCUGUUAUGUAGAAGCCUGGUAAGUAAUAUCUAUACAAAAACCCUAGAUUUUCAUGUGUUCUUAAGUUGAAAGUGUAAUCAUGAUGAAAGUUAAGGAUUUUGGUGAUAGAUGAUCAAUUUCAUAAGUUAUAGAUGAUUCAAUCAUAGUUAUUUCAUGUUGAUGAUACUUAGAGACUCCAUUGUUGAUUAAUAUGCAUGUUAGGGUUUCUUGUUUAAUUGAACAAGAUAUGACUAUAAUCUGAAUUUUAUGACUUUAUGUUGAUGUUAGUGAGUUGUAAUUACCUCCUUGAUGAUUAGCUAUGGUUGUACUUGAUCUAUGAAGAUUAGGGUUCUUAAUUUAAAUUGGGGAUUUUGGAAAUUUGAUGGUUUUGGAAUGAUUGUUUGCAAAUUUGUAAUGUUUUGCCAUCCAUUGAUAUAUAAUUAAUGUUUUUGAUAUUCCUAACCCUUUCUAAGAGUUAACAUAAGUUUUAACCAUGAAAGAGGGCUGCAUUUUAUGGUUUGGGUCGAAGUUAGAAGCACUAUAAACAUGAUUUUCGCAGCUUUUUAUUCAGAUUUUGGGCAGACUUCGAAAAAUCAUAUAAAAUCAACCGAGUGUCCGUUUGGGGUGUUCUUUAUAUGGUUGGAAAGCACCAGGAGUAUAUUUUCUAAAUAUGUUUAGAAUGACAGGAAAUAAGAAUGACAAAUACAUGAAAACUGCAGUACAAAACAGCUUAGUAGAUUGGUUUAAAGCUGAAUUAUUAGUUGGUUUAUGAACCAGUCCUGUUUCUUCCGAAAAUCAUAUAAAAUCAUAGAAAAUUCCAAUUGGGGUGAUUUUUUUUUUUGAGUUGAAAAGAUAUAAGAAUGUUUUACAUAUCAAAUUUGAAGAUGUCGAACCAAUUAAAAUUGUACAAGGGUCUAAUAGGCCGAAUACAACAGUUGCGCAGAAUAGUGGUGCACUAAAAUAAAGUUUUUGUAAAACAAAAUAAAGAAGGUUGUUUGAACACGUUGGAACUAAACGUAAAUGGUUAGUUCUAAUUGUUUAUUUGUAUCUAACUUAGUAUAUUAGAAGUGUUUAAAGUACUUGCUUCAAGAGCAUUGCAAGCACUUGCACUAAUGGGUGAAAACGGGUCAAAUGGCUAGGGUUGACCUCAAAAUCGUCAAGAACACAUAUAACAAGUUGGAUAAUAAUACUUCGGUAUUAAAAAGGGGGUGAAUGGUCGUUAUAUGUUCAAACGAUUUGCAAGUUGACUUGUUGUUUAGGAGGUAUGACAUAGAUGGGAAACAACGGGUUAAAAGGAUGGCAUGGACGACAACACCUCUAUGGGAAAAGGUGAAUUACAAGUGAAGAGUAAAUGGAUUUAGUGAUUCUAAUAUGGGAAAUGGACUUCAAGAACAGAUGGGACACUGAGCAGCUAGGGAUAAAUGAAAUAAUAUCUGAGUUAAUAAGCUGGAAUUAAAUGACAAAAGAACGAUGGGAGUGACCUACGAGUUACUCAAGUUGAAUGUGGUUAAGAAUUUGGCUGAUCUAAGGCAGGAAUGAUCAAGUCUUGGGAGCGGGUCCAUAAGAGGAGGAUUGGGUUGUGAUUUGUCCAACAAUUAUAUGUUUUGGUUAUUAAACCUAGCGAGUCUGGUCUUUUAUACUCUAGUGUAUUUUGUUUUAGCAUAUUGCUAGUUCAUCAAUGUUUUAAAAAGUUAUGUUGGUUAUGAA